CUGGGGACAACUCAGUGGUGCAGUGCCUGCCUGGCAAGCAGGACAUCUUGAGUUUGAUUCCCAUUACCCACA
rnacentral:tRNA from 1 species